UACGUAGGGGGCAAGCGUUGUCCGGAUUUAUUGGGCGUAAAGAGCGUGUAGGCGGCCGUACAGGUCAGCUGUGAAAACUCGAGGCUCAACCUCGAGACGUCGGUUGAAACCGUACGGCUAGAGUCCGGAAGAGGAGAGUGGAAUUCCUGGUGUAGCGGUGAAAUGCGCAGAUAUCAGGAGGAACACCCAUUGCGAAGGCAGCUCGCCGGGACGUUACUGACGCUGAGACGCGAAAGCGUGGGGAGCAAACAGG
rnacentral:rRNA from 1 species